GGAUAAAAAAGUGAGGAGGUGAUAUGAUAGAAAUGAAAGUGUAUGAAUCCUAGAGGAAUGCAUCAAGUCGGGUACAGGAAUGACUCCUAACUUCACGACUUUAAUUUUUCCUUUGAUUAGAAGGAAGGACUAGCGUGCUAAGGCUAUUUUGUAGCCACACUCGCUCGUUUCCCUUACGAAAAGGGGACUCUCAAGCAAAUGUACCCUAUAACUAGCAUGGAGAUGUAAAAAACCUAAAUUGAAAGGGAAAGGGUUGGAGGGGCAUGCCAAAUGCUAGAAAACUAAGAAAAAUGCAUGAAAUGUAGUGAGACAUGCGAUUAUUAACUAGCGAGGGAGAUCCCUAAGGGUCUAGCAUUGGACUAGCCCAUAUCUAUGAAUUCCUACUAGCGUUGGACUAGUGGAAAACGGGAUAAUAAGCCACAACUAGAAUUGGACUAGUGUGGUGACGUGCAUUCAUCCAUCAUAUUCAUCUAUGACUAUAGAAAGCAAGUAGACAUGCAAAUCAUCUAUAAACACGUAGCACAUAGCACAUAAGUAUGGUAUCUAGAUGCAAGGCCCUAAGAAAACAAGUAACACGUAACACGUAGGCAUGCAAAUCACAUAGGGCAAAUAAAACAAAGAAAGCCCUAUCUAUUACAUUAGGGGAGCCCUACUACAAUCUAAAAAGGAGAAAUAAAUAAAUAAUUAAAAUAAAUACCUAACUAUUACAAAUUUGACAUUCAAGUGCCUUUCAAAUAACCAAAAUUGAAUUAAAAAUAAAUAUGCCAAAUUAAAAAAUAAAUAAAGUGAAUAAAUAAAUAAAUAAAUCAAAAGGCAAGCAAUUAGGCAUGUAAAGGCACAUAAGGCACGUAGAGUCAAAUAAAGUAAGAAAUGAAGGAAAGGGUGUACCUCCCUUGAGUUGGGCCCUAAUGAAAUAAAAUCACUUACUUGCCCUCUAAAAUACAAAGAAAUAGUCAAGGCACCACUUUAAUUAAUAAAUAAUCAUAAAAGAUAAAAGUAAACAUGAAAUUGAAUCAAUUAAAUCAUGUAGACAACCCACAUUUGAGAAGCCAAAAGAAGAAAGGACUUGAUUGCAAAAAAUUAACAAAGCUUUGGAGUCAAAUUAUAAUCAUCACAAAGAUUCGAGGAAAAUAAAGCUUAGGGACUCAUUUGCAAUUAAAGUAAGGACCCAAUUGAAAGAAAUUGAAAGUUUAUAGGGCCAUAGUGCAACAAAGGGAGACUGGGGGCCAAAGUGCAAUUUUUAGAAAGUUAUCUCAUGCAAACUCCAUGCGAGUUAACGUGAAAAACAUUCUGAAACAAGACGAACCAACUGCUGCACCUUUCAUUCCACUUUCAAAUUACUAAUUCAGAUUUGAUCUCAUACUUUGACCCAAAGCUUAAAUUAAACAACACAAAAAUAUGAACUUGACAUCCAAACAAGAAAAAUCAUAGGAAGAGAUCAUGCAAAUAUUGGAAAAAACUUCAUGCAAAAAGGCAUGGAGAAGCUUUCUACAACAAGAAAAUCUGCUGCAACUUCCUCGGCCUCUUAUCAAAACUGUCUGUUUUGUUAUGGGUGAGUAGUUUAUACACAAGAUUAAAUCAUCAUGAUGAGAUUGAUAAAACGAAUCUAGACCGCAAACCAAAGGCAUGCGGCUUCAACUUGGAUCAAAAUAAGCCCCCAACAAUGUUAGUUGGUCAGACCCAACACAACAGGAAAAUAAGGGAACCAUCAAAGUCCCAAGUUCCUUUCAAGUUUCUGGUUAACAACCUUUGCAAACAAAUUGAACCCAUUACCAAACAGUAAACCCAAAGCCAUACAAUCUUGCUAACAAGACAGCCAAACAUCAACUUGGUUUUCCAGCUCACAGAUGAAGGAGCGGAUUUCUGAACAAGCAAUGAAAUGGAAAAAAGGAAACAGCAAAGAACAGCAAUCAUGCGCAAUUUAAAGGAAAAUCCUGUUCUAAUCAAAGCGAAAUCCUGUUCUAAUCCUGUUCACCCAUCUUAGGAAAAUGCAGAUUUGGUUUUAUCGAAAACCCAUCGAACAAGAAAACACACCAGAUUUCAGUUUAGCAGAUUGCAUGUUUAAUCGCAAGCUAGCUUAUUUCAAUCGAACUCAGUCUGAAUCAAACAAACACGAUUUCCUACAUAUCCUUCUAACAUGAACUAACCAGUAACUAACAUCAAGAGAAAGAUCUAAACUACGCCAUUCUUGCCAACAAGACUUAUGUGGAGUAGGAAAGAAACAAGUAAUGAGAAAGGAACAUGGGCGCAGCAAGCAUGAUUUCUUUCAUCAUGCGACCGAAUGUAAAAGUGCAACAAGGACACACAAAGAAAAACUCGCGGCAAAUAUAUUCACAGUAUACUAUCCGAAGACCGAAAAGAUCAUAACCUUCAAAACAUGCCCAAAACAUGAACCAACAAAGGGGAAAUCAGCAUUUGUCCAUGCUUGCUGCAAUUUUCUGCUGCAGUUUCGCAUGCUCCAAUUCAUGCCAAUGGAAUGCCAAAAUAAUACACACAAAAAAGAACUCACCCUUUAUUCAUCAAACUCACACACAUCUCCAAACAUUCAUCUAUCACUGAUCAAGCAUGAUCACCUCACCCCCAAACUGUUCCAACCGAGAUGUCCAAAAUCCAAGAAAGCAAGAACAACGACAACAAAACAAAAAAAUGCAGCAAAAGAGACCUUAGCUUGGAGCAGCUAACGUUUCAGCAUUACAUGGUAAUAUCUACUGCUAUGACAAACCAGAAAAUUUACAACGAGCAACAAAAGAAAGUUUUGAAAUAAAGCUAAGCAUUCUAUACAACCAAAAAACAAAACAGCCAUGAAGGAGAGGUUUAUAAGACAGCGCGCAUGUACAACAUCAAAACCAACCCAACUCUCGGUUUGGGCAUUUUAUCAAACAGCCAACGGACAUAAGAAAUUUCACCAAAUUUUUGUCGAUUGAAGUUAUGAUUAGCCCUAAAAUUAUCAGAACAAACAGAAAUUCAGUUCCAGGCACCAUAUAAUACACAUAUAUCCGCGGGCGAUGUAAAACACAGAAGGAAGGCUGAAACGUAAACGAAGAAAUUACCUCUCACGGUCUCGCCGAAACAAAAUGCUCCAAGGUAGGCAGGAGACAAAUCCGGUGCUCUUGAUUUCUGAAGUUUAAUUGAAUCUGGAGGGUGGUGGCACUGGUAGUGGUCAAAAGAGGGAGCGAAUGAUCGGCGGAUGCGGACUGGUGGUUCCGGCAACCCUUCGGACGAACCUUCCUUGCUCGAUUUGUAUCGCAGCUUUGCGCCUCUGCUUUGGUUCCUCCAUUUCUUUGCUCUGCCCGAAAGCUUCCAAAAGUUCCAGGUUUUUCUUCCGCUGUUUUUCCCUUCCGCCCUCCAGACGAAACGCUCUGUUCUUUCCCUUCAAUUUUUCGUUUCUUUGUUCCAUCCCUUUCUCCUGAUUUUUGUUUCUUUUCCUAGCCCCCAGACUUUCUCUCACUCUCUAGCCGCUUUCCUUCUUCACUCUCCAAAAACCCCCCUCUAGUCUUCUGAUUUUUCCCUGUUCUUUCUUUUUCCUUGCCGCUCUCUGAAGCCCAGUCCGCCGCCCCUAGUCUGUCCUCUGUUUUUUAUUUUCUUGCUUGGUCGCCUAGCUUUUCUUCUUUCCUCCCUCAGCUUCAUUAGUUUUUUCUGCAUUCCUCUAGCCGCUCCCCCUCUGGUUUUCCUCUUCUCAAAUUUCUUUCCGCCGUUCCUCUCGUUCUUUCUUUGUUUCCGCCGUCACACAAGCUAUUCCAAUCUCUCUUUAGCUCCCUUUUCCUGCAGAUUCACCCUUCUCUGCUUUCUCUCGGUCUCACUAUUUUUUUCUUAUGCAGCCGCCCCAAUCCCUCAGCUCUCUCUCUUACUCUGUUUUCAUUUUUUUAAGGCACCCCCCAAAGACUGAACCUAAUUUGAAAGGCCCAGAUUUCAAACCCCAAAGCAGGCUUAUGUGUCUUAUUCCUGUCCCUUUGAUUGACUUUUUCUUUUUCUUUCUUUUUUCUUUUUUUUUUCUUUUUCAAAACCCUAGAAUCAAAACAAACAAAAUAAAAUUAAAUGAUUAAAUGAUUAAAGUUUAAUUAAAUGAUAAAAAUGACUUAAAAAUAAAAGUCUAAAAGUAAAUGAAAUGAAUCAAAAAAAAUAAAAAUACCAGUAAACAAAAAUACCUUAAAAAUUUGGUGUCUACAGUCACGGCGGUCAUUGGGGCGGCAAUGGUGCUGAAGUCCUUGACAAAGCGCCGGUAGAAGCCUGCCAAUCCAAGAAAACUGCGUACCUCAGGGACGGAUGUGGGAGUUGGCCAUUGCUCGAUGGCCUCAAUCUUGGACUUGUCUACCUUGAUACCCUGCGAACUCACUACAUAGCCCAGAAACACGAGUUCAUUAGUACAAAAGGUACACUUCUUAAGCUUAGCGUAUAGACGCACCUUUCGAAGUGUCUCAAGAACUAGUCUCACAUGCUCCAGGUGCUCAUGCUCACUGCGACUAUAUAUCAGAAUAUCAUCAAAGUAAACUAUGACAAAUUUGCCAAUAAACUGCCUCAAGACAUGAUUCAUUAGUCGCAUGAAGGUGCUAGCGGCGUUAGUCAACCCAAAAGGCAUGACUAGCCACUCAUAAAGACCAUGCUUGGUUUUGAAGGCCUGUAGACACCAAAUUUUUGAACCGUUUUAUUUAUUAUUAAUUUACUUUUAUUUUAUUUUUAUUUUAUUUUUUAGUGAUAAGUAUUAUCUAUUAAUUUCAUAAUUUUUGUUUUGGGUAUUUUCUAGUAUUUUUAUAGCAUUUUUUAUUAUUACUAUUAUCUUCUUUCUCUGAUAUUCAUUUGUUACUCAUUUAGUUGGCCUUAAAUGUAAAAAAUUAAAAAAAAUUAUUAUUAAAAAAUUAAAAAAAUUUUAAAAAAAAAAUUUAUUACAUGCAAGCUGCGUUCGUCCGCAGCUUGCAAAGAAGAGUUGCAGCAAGGCCCUUGAGGGCAAUUUAAGUGAUGAAUGGCCAGGUGUCUAGGACACCUCAGGCCCUAGAGAAUUCUAGAAGAGGAUAGGUGGAGGGUGGAAAUGAAAGAGGAAGGACGUGAGAUGUGGACCAGCGUCGGAUGAAGGGUUUUUGAAAAAACAAGGCUGGCCGCAGAAGCAAAGGGAGAGAUACCGAAAAGGAAACGGAAAAGGGGUUCGAAAGAAGAGAGAGAAAGAGAGAGAGAGCUGAGGUUCUGUGAGGGGGAGAGAAGAAAAAGCUAGGUUUGCAGAAAAGAGGCGGCUUUGAGGGCAGGAGAGUGAAACAGAGGCGAAAAGAAAGAAAAACGGAGAGGUCUGAAGUUUGAGAGAGAAAAACAGUGCGGCGGCUAAGUAGUAGAAGAAAAGCAAAAGGAGGAAAGUAAGGAAUAGAGAAAAAGAUCUGGGCGACAGAGGAACUUAGGAGAUUCAAGGUUUCCGCUGGGAGUUUCUUCAUCAGGCUGGUGUUAAGGGUUCUCAAGGUAAUCUCGUUUUGUUAUCCUCCUUCGCUUACACAUUCUCUUUCUCUGCAACCAGAAAGUUCCGCUACUUGAUGUUCUUGUUCUUAUGAUCUGUCUUUAUUCUUUCGGUUCUUUCAUUUUCAUGCGCUGAUUGAUACAGAAAGUGGUUUCAUGUCAUGGCAUCUAGGUUGUACGUUAUUGUGGACCUUAAGACUGUUUGGGUAGAAACUAUCUCUAGUUUUUUUUAGCUAAACAACAAACCCAUUCCAUUUGUAAAAGCUUUAUGAACGAAUCUGGUUUUGUAAAUUGUUUUCUCCAACGUAGAUCGUCUUUCUUCUGUUAGUUAAAUAUUGCACUUGGAUGAUGGAUUUAGGGACGAUCUAUAAGUUUUUUUAUCUGAUGAGUCUGUGGGAUGUUGAUGUCUAUGGCUGGGGUUCGCACGCCCAAACGAACAGCUCACAAAAUGGUAUGAGGUGCCGGGCAAAUCUGUUCUGAGGUCCCCUUGAUUGCUGUUCUAUUUUUCUUUUUUCUUUUUCUUUGCAUUUAAGUUGCAUGCUUAAUCAGAUGUUUGGCAAGAGGUUUAGGAAAGCUAAUUUUCAUUGUGAUGGCCCUGUAGUUGGGAAACGUUCAAUCCAAAUUUUGUUAGAAAAAUGCUUUUGUUUGCGCUGGUUUGGAUGCGCUGGUUUCUUUGGUUGUUGCCGUCAUUUUUGUUGGUCCUUUUACUCCAGCUUUGCUGUCUCUUGUAUCUUGCAAUGGUUUAGGGUGCUCAUAUCCAAUGGUUUUUUUUGUGUUGUAAGCUGAAAACAAUGUUUGAUGAACCUGUUUGCCUGACUUUAGGAUGUUUGGGCGCUUAGAGUUGCGCAUAAAAAUCUGCUACAACAAGCUGAAAGCUCUCGGCUUGUUGCAGCGGCUUGGACCAAAUUCUGUUUCCCUUUUGCUGGGAAGUUUUGAGCUAUGCAUCUUGUGUUUUCUGGUUUCGUUUGCUUUGGUUAAGAGCAAUGCAUAUUAAAUGGGACUAGAUUUAGGUUCUGUCAAUUGCACACCUUGGCUAUUUUUCGUUGCUUUGAUUUCAUUUCCUCCUGUUUGUGGUUUUGUCCAAAAAGUCGCAUUUCAUCUUCAUGAUUUGUUGCUUUCCUUUCUUCCCGCAACAGCCCACACAAGCUGGUUUGGGUCAUUUUUGCUAGCUAAAUCUGAUGUCCAAAUAAUUACUGAUAAGGUUGCAUGCUUUGUUCUGAAGCUACAAAGGUUUUGGUGUGAAUGUUUCACGGUUUGAGACUGCACAAAUAAGAAGAAAACAUUGCAGAAGCAUAAGCCUCGUAACCUUGCAUGAACUUGCAUGAAAAUUUUCUGAAAAUUGCAUUUUUGCCCACAUGUUCCUCCUCAUGCUACUAAGGCCCUAUUGUGUGCCAAUUUAUUUCAUUUGAGUCCUAGAGUAAUUGCAACUUGAACCAUUACUCGACCUUUUCUUUACUCUUGGACCCUUGAAGUUCCCAAAUAGUUUAAUUGGACUUGAAAAGAUUUGGUCAGUGAUUACUUUUGGGAUUGAUUGGUAAUUUUCCUUCUUUGUAAUUAUGCGUUAUUUGAUUAUUUUUUAAGUUGCAAUUGAGGAAGGAUUCGAUGAUUUAGUGGAUUCAAAUUAUCUUAUUUACAUUUUACUGUUAAAUUGGUGCAUUAAUCCCUUGCUUUGAUAGUUUUAGCCCAAGUUAUCUCUUUCUCUGGUGACUUUAGCCCAAGUUAAGUCUUGUUCACUUUACUAGCAUCACAAAUGGGGAGGUAUAACUUCUUUUAUCUUUUUUGUCUCUCCCCUAUGUGAUCCAAUGUGCUAAGUGAGAAUUGCAUGUCUACUUUGCUUUCCUUGCUUUUCCUUAAUUCCUUUCAUUUAUUUCAUUUACUUUUGCUUUUAUUGAGUCAUUCUUUUAUUUAUUUAUGGGGUAUGUGUACACCUCUUGGCUUGUAAUAGAUAGGGUUUGGAGAGUAUUUUUAUUCACUUUUCCUCUUCCCCAUUUGUUUUAGUUAGCAAAUGUAAUAGGUUCAUUAGCUUGAUUGCUUGCUUUUGUUGCUACAUGUUAAUUUGUUUUAUUAGGUUCUUGCAUUUAGUCGAGCAUGCUAAGUGUUAUGUGUUACGUGUUUAUAGGUGAUUGGCAUGUCUACUUGCUUUCUAUAGUCAUAGAUGAAUGCGAUGGAUGAAUGCGUCACCGUGGCUAGUCCAACGCUGGUCAUGGUCUUUCCCCUCGAGCUCUCGCAAGUCCAAUGCUUGUGAGAGAAUUUUGGAAAAGGACUAGUCCAAUGCUAGACCCAAUAGGCUGUCCCCUCUCGUUAGUACAUACUUGCAUGUCUCACUAUAUUUCAUGCAUUUUUCUUAGUUUUCUAGCAUUUGGUAUGCCCCUCCAACCCUUUCCCUUUCAUUUUAGGCUUUUUGCAUCUCCAUGCUAGUUAUAGGGUACAUUUGCUGUAGACACCAAAUUUUGAAUUAAUGCUUUGUGUUUAGAUGAUUUGCGUUUUAGUUCAUUAUGUGUUUGUCUAGCCCUUUUAGGUUUUAUUUUAUUUUAGUUUUAUUCCCUUUUUAGUUUUAGUUGUUUUUGUAGUUUUUAUUUUGUAAGUUUAGCGUAGAAUUUUUAGAGAAAAAAAAGGAAAAGUGAAAAAUGAAAAAAGGGGAAAAAGAAAAUCAUGAAAAAGAGGAAAAAAGGAAAAUUGUUCACAAAAAUACGUUCAAAUUCAAUCUUUUGGCAUUUCGGUUUAUUUUUGUUAAUUUAUUUUUGAAAAAAUGGAAAAUGAUGAAAAAUGGAAAAAUGAAAGAAAAGGUCGAAAAUGGUAAUUUUGUUAUUUUUAGUUUGUUUAUUUUGAUUAAAAUUGUUGUUUUGUUAUUAUUUAGUUUUAUUUAGUUUACUAUUAUUUUUGUUAAAUCAUUAAUUUUUAAAAUAAAAAAAAAAAGAGAGAAGCCAAAAGCUGCAUUUUUGCCGCAGCUUGCAAAUGAAAGUUGCGGGAGGUCCUGGGGGAAAUUUUUGGCUGAAGAGGCCAGGUGUCUAGGACACCUGGAGGGGGGAUGAAUCUAGAAGGAGGGGGGCUAGGUUUUUGAGCUAACAGAGAGAGAGUCGGUGGGCUAGAGAGAAACAGAUCGGGGGAGACGGCUAAGAAAAUCAGAAAAAAAGGCUUGCGGCUGGGAGAAGGGGAAGGUUAACAGUGAAAAGAAAGGAACCAAGGGGAUUGAAGGGGACGGCUGGAUAAAAAAGGGAUUGAAAAUCCGGGGCUGAAAAAAAAGGGAAAGGGGAUAGAUAGAGUGAGAGAAGGAUAGCUGAGGGAGUUUCGAGAGGAAGCUAAGAGUGGAGUUUAUGAUGGCUGGAUGAUAGGAAGGGAGAAAUCUGAGAGCAAAAGAAAAGAAAAGGGGCGCCGCAAGAGGAAAAGAGAUGAGGAAGGGGAAGAUCGGACAUCGGGCUAGAUAAAAACAGCAGCGAGAGGAAAAGAAAAACACUAGAGGGCUUGAAGGCUGAGAAAGCUUGAAGGAGGAGGAGAACCAAGAAGGUCACGGCUGGGCAAAGCUUUGAGGUCUCUGGUCAAAUCAAAAAGAACGAAGAGGGUUGCUACUCAAGUUUUUGCCGAUAAAAUUCAUCAGAAAAACAACGCUGUAAGGUUCUUUCUUGACUUUAUCCUAUGGACAAUCUUUGUUACUAAAUCUGUGUCUAUGAAAUCAGGGGUUUACUUGGUGUUUUUGAUUGUCUCUCUUGAUUUUGAGUCCGUGAGCAUGGAAAAGUCUGGAUUACAGUAGCUAUUUCCUUACCGAUAGUCGUAAAGCUGCGAUCUUUUGUUCCUAGGUUACGGGAUAUACUUUGUUGGGUUCCAAAUCUGUUCGACGUUGUUAUUUUGUUCCUGGACUGCAUUUUAGUAGCAAGAUGUCAUCUUUGAAAGGAAAGGGCAUUUAUACGACCAGCUCCUCUGAAAAUGUAUCUAAGUUCAUGCGCUGCAAUUUGCAAAAAGAAACCCAGCAACCAGAAAUCUUGCAAUAAAGUGUAAUAUUUGGCUUGUUUGAUGAUUGGGGUUGCAUCUUGUGGUUGUUUUGGGUUCAAAGUUGAUGUUUUGUUGGUAAUGUUUCACAGCAAGUUGUAGGAAAAAUUCCUGCUGCAUUUUUCCCAUUCUUUUGCUGUUUAGCUCCUUUUAUCCCUGUCGGUCUGCUUAGACUUCUUGCUUUAAAACUGCAACAAAAUUUAGCUAUUGUUUUAGUUGAUAGCUGAGAGUUAAAUCCAGAUAUCUAGUGAACCUGUUUGCCUGAUGAGAUGGAGAGAAAGUCAUGGCAGAAAUGGUGUAGGAAUCUUAAAAAAAGUUGCAGCAGCCUUUUGUUUUUUUUUUCCUUCUUUUUUUCUUUACAUGUUUUGCAUGAUUUUCCAGAAUUUGGCAUGAAUGUUUGCUGGAAAAUGCAGAGCAGGAUUGUCGAGCCAUUUUGCAUUGAAUUCUCCAGCAUUUGCAUGUUUUUUCCUUUUUUUUCUGGUUUGAAAUACGCAUGGCUCAAAGCUGCCAAAGUUUGCGGCAGAAAUUUGCAGAUUCCAGCUUUCAUUCGCAGCUCAAAGUAAAGAAAAGAAUGGUCCUUCUACGUAUACAUGCAUGAAAUCAAAAGGAAAAAUUACAUUUUUGCCCCCCCAAGCUGCUAUAAUUCAUUCAAUUGGGUCCCUGUUCUUGUUACAUCUAAACCCUUCAAGUUGCCCUUUGUUCUGCAUUGGCCCAGAGAAUUAGAUAAUUUAACCAAAUUUUGUCCUUUUAAAUGUUUCCUUCUUUAAUGCGAUUUUUGGUGACUUUGGAUAGAUUAAUUUUGGGGUUUAAUGCAUAAUAAGAGGUUAGCAAUUUUUAGUUGGGUUUUAUCUUGUUGGACUUUUCAUAAAAAUAAAAUUUGGUUUGAUUUGGAUUUUUUUUUUUUUUGUUUGGGCUCAAGCAAGUGGUUUUAGUUUAUUUUGUUGGGUUUCUGACGCAGGUUUAGGAAGAUAGAGCCCAACACUUUUUGUUGGGUUUUAGAAUUGGGUUUGUGAUUUAAUUGGAUCAUUCUUAGGAUCAGAAUAUUAGACUAGCCCAUUUGCUUUGCUUGGUUUUCUGUUGGGCCAAGUGAGUCUGGUCCAAACAAAUAAAAUGGCCCAACAGUUUGCUUGAUUAAAAAUCUGAUAAUUGAAGUUGCGAAUCAGUCCCUGAAUUUCUCUUUAAUUGUACUAUGGCCCUGAAUAUUUUCAACCUCUUUCAAUUGGGUCCUUAUUUUAAUUGCACAUAAGUCCUUGGACUUUAUUUUUUCUUUAAAUCUGGCCCCAAAUUUUGUCAAUCUUUGCAAUCAAGUCCUUUCUUCUUUUGACUUCUU
rnacentral:lncRNA from 1 species